rnacentral:rRNA from 1 species
GACGAACGCUGGCGGCGUGCUUAACACAUGCAAGUCGAACGGUGAAGCGCUUUCCUUUUUGGUUGGUGUGGAUGAGUGGCGAACGGGUGAGUAACACGUGAGUAACCAGCCCCCUUCUUCUGGAUAACCGCAUGAAAGUGUGGCUAAUACGGGAUAUUCUGCGCCUGCUGCAUGGUGGGUGUGGGAAAGAUUGUGCCUUUGGGUGUUUUCGGUGGGGGAUGGGCUCGCGGCCUAUCAGCUUGUUGGUGGGGUGAUGGCCUACCAAGGCGGUGACGGGUAGCCGGCCUGAGAGGGUGGACGGUCACACUGGGACUGAGACACGGCCCAGACUCCUACGGGAGGCAGCAGUGGGGAAUAUUGCACAAUGGGCGCAAGCCUGAUGCAGCGACGCCGCGUGAGGGAUGGAGGCCUUCGGGUUGUGAACCUCUUUCGCCAGUGAAGCAGGCCUGCCCCUUGUGGGUGGGUUGACGGUAGCUGGAUAAGAAGCGCCGGCUAACUACGUG